UUUUAUACGACCGCAAAAAAAUUUUUGUGGUCGUAUAUUGGUAUGACAUCGGCGUCGUCGUCGGCGUCGUCCGAAGACACAUUGGUUUUCGCACUCUAACUUUAGUUUAAGUGAAUGGAGCUCUAUGAAAUUUUACCACAAGGUUCAAUACCACAAAAGGAAGGUUGGGAUUGAUUUUGGGGGUUAUGGUACCAACAGUAAAGGAAUUAGGGGCCAAAAAGGGGCCAAAAAUAAGCAUUUUUGUAACUUCCAGACAUAACUUGUGUGUUAGUGUAUGGAUCUCUCUGAUAUUUUACCACAAGGUUCCAUAUCACAAAAGGAAUGCUGGGAUUGAUUUUGGGGGUAAUUGCCUCAAAAUUUUAGGAAUUAGGGGCCAAAAGAGGGGCAAAAAAACAAGCAUUUUUCUAGUUUCAUGACAAUAACUUGUGUGUAAGUGUAUGGAUCUUUCUGAAAUUGUACUACAAGGUUCCAUAUCACAAAGGGAAAGCUGGAAUUGAGUUUGGGGGUAAUUGCCAAAUCAUUUAGGAAUUGGGGGCCAAAAAGGGGCCAAAAAUAAGCAUUUUUCUAGUUUCCAGACAAUAACUUGUGUUCAAGUGUAUGGAUCUCUCUGAAAUUGUACUGCAAGGUACCAUACCACAAAGGGAAGGCUGUGAUUGAGUUUGGGGGUGAUGAAUCAUAAGGGGGUUCAAAAAAUUGGGGGGGGGG